UACGUAGGGUGCAAGCAUUGUCCGGAUUUAUUGGGCGUAAAGAGCUCGUAGGCGGCCUGACACGUCGGAUGUGAAAACACGCAACUCAACUGCGUGCCUGCAUUCGAUACGGUCAAGCUAGAGGAUGGCAGGGGAAACUGGAAUUCCUGGUGUAGCGGUGGAAUGCGCAGAUAUCAGGAGGAACACCGGUGGCGAAGGCGGGUUUCUGGGCCAUUACUGACGCUGAGGAGCGAAAGCGUGGGGAGCGAACAGG
rnacentral:rRNA from 1 species